CCAUACAGGAAGUGCCCUGUCUGACAAUUUGUUCUCCUUCUAGGGCAUCUCUAUCAAAAAUACAGCAUCUCUGCUGUAACGUGACAUUUUCUAAGGCUUCCAUUGGCUCUCAGAAGGCGCCAGAAUGUGGAAUGAGAGCUCUCCAGUCUCUGGGCGAAAAACAGCAGGAGUUUUUGUGAGUGGUCAGGCUGAGAACAAUGACACUGGAGUGCACGUGCACGAGACGACUCCAUGUUUUUCUUUCAGUCUAUGAAUGAAUAUAAUGUCGCCCGGUUGGAAUAUUAACGCUAUUUUACGAGAAAAAUUGCAUAAAAAUUGAUUUUAAACAGCGUUUGACAUACUUCGAAGUACGGUAAUGGAAUAUUUAGAAUUUUUUUGUCACGAAAUGCGCCCGCGCAUCACCCUUCGGAUAGUGACCUCAACACACGAACAAAACGGAGCUAUUUCAAUAUAACUAUGGAUUAUUUUGAACCAAAACAACAUUUGUUAUUGAAGUAGAAGUCCUGGGAGUGCAUUCUGACGAAGAACAGGAAAGAUGAAACAACAGAGAAAAACAGAGGUCAUUUUUGUCUGGGUCUUAGCCAUCUGGCUCUCUUCAGUUGUCAACAGUGAAAGUAAGUGAUUUUUAACAUUGUGAGACAGUGCACAAAAACAUAUUUCGGCUGUUUUUUACCAGGCAAAAAAGCUGCUUGAGGGAACAAUCUUUUGUCUUUUAGUAAGGAUGUGUCAUAUCCAGCAAAUACAGAAAGUACAGCCAUAUUUCAAAUAAUUUGGGGUAAGAUUCUGCUGUAAAAGUACUAUAAAGUACAAAACAUUUUUGGUUCAAAAGAUCCAUGCUGUCUGGCUAGGACCUUGAUAAAGUGAAAGAUGGAAUCUGUAGUAUUACCUUGAGAAAACCUGAGUAAAGAUGAUCUGCUUUCUACAUAAACCAACUUUCUUCAAGUUCUCACAACUCCUUCUUUCCUGGCUGAGCUGGCUAUGGCCACAAUAUGCACUUAACAAAAAUAUAAACACAACAUGUGUGUUGAUCCCAUGUUUCAUGAGCCGAAACAAAAGAUCCCAGAAAUGUUCCAUACGCACAAAAAGCUUAUUUCUCUCAAAAUCUGUGCACAAAUUAGUUUACAUCCCUGUUAGUAAGCAUUUCUCCUUUGCCAAGAUAAUCCAUCCACCUGACAGGUGGGUCAUAUCAAGAAGCUGAUUAAACAGCAUGAUCAUUACACAGGUGCACCUUGUGCUAGGGACAAUAAAAUGCCACUCUAAAAUGUGCAGUUUUGUCCCACACCACAAUGCCACAGAUGUCUCAAGUUUUGAGGGAGCGUGCAAUUGGCAUGCUGUCUGCAGGAAUGUCCACCAUAGCUGUUGCCAGAUAAUUGAAUGUUAAUUUCUCUACCAAAUCGAGUGCAAUGUCGUUUUAGAGAAUUUGGCAGUACAUCCAACCGGCCUCACAACCGCAGACCAUGUGUAAACAUGCCAGACCAGGACCUCCACAUCUGGCUUCUUCACCUGUGGGAUCGUCUGAGACCAGCCACGUGGACAGCUGAUGAAACUGCGGGUUUGCACAACCAAAGAAUUCUGCACAAACUGUCAGAAACUAUGUCAGGAAAGCUCAUCUGCAUGCUUGUCGUCCUCACCAGGGUCUUGACCUGACUGCAGUUCGGCGUCGUAACCAACUUCAGGGGGCAAAUGCUCACCUUCGAUGACCACCGGCACGCUGGAGAAGUGGGCUCUCCACGGAUUAAUCCCGGUUUCAACUGCUGAUCGGGCAGACAGCAGACAGCGUGAAUGUGGUCGUUUGGGCGAGCAGUUUGCUGAUGCCAACGUUGUGAACAGAGUGCCUCAUGGUGGUGGUGGGGUUAUGGUAUGGGCAGGCAUAAGCUACUGACAGUGAACACAAUUGCAUUUAAUCAAUGGCAAUUUGAAUCCCCAGCGAUACCAUGACGAGAUCCUGAGGCCCAUUGUCGUGCCAUUCAUCCGCCGCUUUCACCUCAUGUUUCAGCAUGAUAAUGCACAGCCCCAUGUCAUAAGGAUCUGUACACAAUUCCUGGAAGCUGAAAAUGUCCCAGUUCUUCCAUGGCCUGCAUACUUACCAGACAUGUCACCCAUCGAGCAUGUUUGGGAUGCUCUGGAUCAGUGGUCGCCAACUGGUCGAUCUUCAAGGCAUUCCUAGUCGAUCACCAAAUAUUUCUGUAGAAAAGCCAACGAACGAUAAAGGCUUGCGCUCCUUUUUUAAAAUCGUGUUGAGCGCACAGGGUAAGCAAAGUGUUUCCACGAGACAAACUCUGCCUAUCCGCAAGACCGGCAAAUCUGUGACUAAAUCGAGUGCACCUACUGCGCUGCCCAAUCGGAUAGCUCAAAUCACUGUGGCUACAGAGCUUCCAUGACCCUGGCCACAGCUAAGUUUAAUAGGCUACUAGCGUACGUACGAUUUUAUAACUUUUAAAACCAUGACCACAGAGGAUCUGUCAACGAAUACAGCAAAGAGCUGGUGAUUUUAUGAGUAAAGUGGAGCUGAGAACCAGUACUGAGGUAAAGGCUCAGUGUGAUCAGAAUGUGUCCCUGCAGUGUGACAUCAUGUCACCGAGCCCACUCAAGAUCAUUCUCUUUUCCUGGGUAAGGAAAGGGAAACAGCUGUGUGUGGUCAAUGCCACUGGUGUAUUCUCCUUUCCUGGCGUCCGGUGUGACAACACAAACAACACCCUCACACUCAAUCUGACUCGGGUGAUGCCGUCCAGUCAGGGUAACUACACCUGCAAACUGCGCUCCAACCUAACGAUCACAGCUGCCAACACCACUGUGACAAUGCAAGAGUGCCUAAGGACAUCUGAGCACAAAGUGUUCCAGAAUGAGUCUCAGGUUGAGUGCCAGUUAUUUGGAGUUUACCCAGAAGGCACAGUACACUGGUUCCUGGGCUCUGAGAAUAUAACAGAGUCCGCCAGCACAAAGAGCCAGCUGGAUGAAGAGGGGCUGUUUGAUAUAAGGAGUACCCUGCCUACCCAGGCUGGGACUGAGCCUUACAACUGCUCCUUGUGGAUACCUAGUAGUGGAACCUACAGCUCUCACAAACAGCUGCACUACUCCAGGGGGCUCUCUUCAGGGACAAAGACUAGGAGCAGACUGCUGUUGUUCUUCAUCCUGGUUGGACUCAUAAUCAUAAUUUAGGACUACUCAUGGGAAGGUCAGGAGUUUUUUUACUGAAUAUGGGACUUCGAACUACAGUAGGGCAAAGGGCUUUUCUGGUCAGGGCACAUCUACACAGGAUGGAUCAGGGCCUUUCUCUUACUGAGUGAAGAGAAAGCAAACCUGGACUGCCAUGGCCAAAGUAGAUAUAUGUUUUCACUUAUUAUACUGGGAAGCAAAAUAUCAAAGAAAUUGCAAUAAAUACAAUUGAAUUUUAAAGCUGAAAAUCAUUGUACAUUGGGAUUUGAGAAUACUGUAAGAAGUAUUCAUCCGUUCAUCGUUUGUCUUCAACGUUAUACACUUGCUUAAAUUGCAUUGCUUAUUACAGUAGUAGAGUACUGCUUCCUGGUGGUGAAAGUGUUUACUGAUGGAAAUAGUAUUGAUGUUAGAUGAGUAAUAAAGCUGUUCUAAAUUGUAUUGUUGAAUUGACUGAUCUUGCUUAUUAAGUCUGUCAUAUCUUGUUGCUGUGUUUUCCAGUCAGCACUGAUUAGACUGAUUAUAUAAUCAAUCAAUGCAAUGUCAAAACAUGGCUAGAAGGACAUGUUACUGUGUGUUCUGGAUUCUAAAAUACAACUUGAAUUGUACCAUAGCAAAUAUAGUCACCCGUGUUGUUUUCUGUACUAGUUCUCAAUUUAAAAAUGAACCAGACCACCCUGGGUACUCAUGACAUUGACAGUAAAAGAAUGAGGACUCAUGGUCAUUCAAAUUGCAUUUCUAGUUCCUUCUCAGUGUACCACAAGGGGGCAGAGUCAUCCCACCAGAGAGGACUGUCAAACCAAUCAUACACAACUCUUCUCCCUCUGCAUACAAACACACACUCAUGCUGUGUGAAUUCCAAUCCAACUGUUCUGUAUAAAUCAACACUUUGAUGUGACACAUUUCCUAUCAAUUUCCUCUACGCCAAUGUGGGUCUCCUGCAAAGUGAAGGAGUGAAGGGUAAAAUGUCUGUCAUUAUAAAACACUCAAAUAAAUCCACAUGACUUCUGUGGUGUCAAACUCACAUCUCUAAUGCAUUAUCCAGGUGCGAGGAUAUGUAAUGUGUUUUAGAUGGACUGACCUUGUUGCACAUGUUGUGUGGGCUGCUGUGAGAGAUGUUAAAAGUACCUGUUGAGUACACAGUAUAACAACACAUGCAUUUUUCUGAUAAAUAGGUACAUUUCCCCAACAAUUGUGAGGAUUCCUGCAAAGUGGGAUGUCAUUAUCAAACACUAUGAGUCCUGUUGUCAUUAUCAAACACUCAUCAAUAUGAUGAGUACUGUUGUCAUUAUCAAACACUCAUCAAUAUGAUGAGUCCUGUUGUCAUUAUCAAACACUCAUCAAUAUGAUGAGUCCUGUUGUCCCAAGCAGGGCAUGAUCAGAAAUAUAGUGUUUUAAAUCGACUGACAGUUUGUUUCAGUAAAAUCAAACAUUAUCUAGAAUGGAGAUGAUGGUGUUGUGUCUUUGCAUCAUUAAAACGGAAGACAUGUUUAUCAAAUAACUUUCUGUAAUUAUUAUUACGCGAUUAAACUGAUUAAUCGUGUAACUGUAAUUAACUAGGAGGUCGGGG
rnacentral:lncRNA from 1 species